UGAUUACUACUCCCUAGAACAGGUAUUUUCCUGUUACGUUUUGCAGCUUAUGUGAUUGUGCAGUAUCUUCCAGGAACAAAGACUGGAAAUGCCAUUAAAACCUUAUUAGAAUGCAGUGUAAUUUAGAAAUGGCUUUGUAAAUAAGCUUCUUUGUCGUAAUUGCUAGUGAACAUAUCUAGUCAUCGCUUGCAAUCCCCUGUAAAAAUGGGGAAAGAAAUUAAUAAACACCCUUUGCAUAGGUGACACAAGCUCUUGCACAAG
rnacentral:misc_RNA from 1 species